rnacentral:lncRNA from 1 species
CUCCAGUGCUCCCCCAACAAACCUUCAUUAGUAACAUGGUCUGAGAACAGCACUGGGACUUGGAAAACAUAAUGGGAUUCAACUUGCCCUGCGAGCCCUCACACCACGGCUUCAAGCUUCGCCGUCCUCCUUUUCCGAAGUGCUCAUGGAGGCAUCUUUCAUUGCAGAUAAGUCUGGAUUCUGCCCUGGUCUUUGUUAAUGAAAUCAACCCCCAGGAAUAUAAAACCGAUGCAGCUCAAUGUGAUCUGACAGUUUGUGUCCAGAAACAUAAGCCAGCAACCAUGUGAAGAGCUGUGAGGGAUUGGACCCAUUCUGUACAUCUGUUCAGAUUCCCGGCACACGUUUUUCCCCCAGUACCGCCCAAGAUCCAAGCUAUCUUUCAGUUUGACAGCUUCACUGACAACCUCCGCAUCUUCAAAGAAGACACAGCUACAUGGCGUAUGAUAAUAUAGAACAGAAUUUACUCAAAAGCACGGUCCAAUGAUAGAAAGACUUUCGAACCA